CCUACGGGAGGCUGCAGUGAGGAAUAUUGGUCAAUGGACGAGAGUCUGAACCAGCCACGUAGCGUGAAGGAUGACUGCCCUAUGGGUUGUAAACUUCUUUUAUAUGGGAAUAAAAUGUUCCACGUGUGGGAUUUUGUAUGUACCAUAUGAAUAAGGAUCGGCUACCUCCGUGCCAGCAGCCGCGGUAAUACGGAGGAUCCGAGCGUUAUCCGGAUUUAUUGGGUUUAAAGGGAGCGUAGGUGGAUUGUUAAGUCAGUUGUGAAAGUUUGCGGCUCAACCGUAAAAUUGCAGUUGAAACUGGCGGUGUUGAGUACAGGAGAGGUGGGCGGAAUUCGUGGUGUAGCGGUGAAAUGCUUAGAUAUCACGAAGAACUCCGAUUGCGAAGGCAGUUCACUGGACUGCAACUGACACUGAGGCUCGAAAGUGUGGGUAUCAAACAGGAUUAGAUACCCCGGUAGUC
rnacentral:rRNA from 1 species